rnacentral:lncRNA from 1 species
AGACCGUGUCACCAGUGUCAGGCUGGGAGAUGCUACUGUUACAGGCCGUCCUCCGGGGGGCAUCACUCGACAUCUCCUUCUUUUCCCCCCACGCAGAUGACAGAGAUGGAAAUACUGAGGCGACAAUGUCGAGGAGAUCAUUAUAUGGACUGUACCCCUACAAGUCCAGCAUGCUUGGACUGGAGACUCUAGGCGAUCCAUCAGGUGACUGGGAUAUAGUGGAAACCAUUGGCAAAGGAACUUAUGGAAAGGUCUACAGAGUGACCAACAAAAAAGAUGGGAGCCAGGCAGCAGUGAAAGUGCUGGACCCGAUUAAUGAUGUGGAUGAGGAGAUUGAGGCAGAAUACAACAUACUGAGGUCCCUGCCCAACCAUCCUAACGUGGUGAAGUUUUAUGGCAUGUUUUAUAAGUCGGACAAAUUAACUGGCGGACAGCUCUGGCUGGUACUGGAGCUGUGCAACGGCGGCUCUGUCACAGAGCUCAUCAAAAGCCUGCUGAUGCGUGGCCAGCGUCUGCAGGAGCCUGUUAUCGCAUACAUCUUAUGCAGUGCCCUCUUGGGGCUCCAGCAUUUGCACAACAACCGGAUUAUCCAUCGUGACGUCAAAGGCAACAACAUCCUCCUGACAACUGAGGGAGGAGUCAAACUGGUUGACUUUGGUGUUUCAGCGCAACUGACGAGCGCACGACUGCGGAGGAACACGUCAGUCGGGACACCGUUUUGGAUGGCUCCUGAGGUCAUAGCCUGUGAACAGCAGUACGACUACUCCUAUGAUGCCCGCUGCGAUGUGUGGUCUCUCGUAUCACUCACAGUGACUGCAGUUAACUCUUUAACUCAGUGCCUGAUAAAGGAUUUUGAGGCACGUCCAUCUGUGACCCACCUUCUGGAGCACCCUUUCAUCAAGCAGGCCCAUGGCAAGGACAUAGCUCUCCGUCAGCAGUUAGCAGCUCUCAUCCAAGAGCAGCAACAAAUAGGCUGCAAAACCAAAUCCAAGCUUAAAAGGCAUCUCGUGUCCUUGACUUCAUACAGGCACGUCCGGAUCAAUACUCGUAAAACCCUCAUAAUAGAGAGCUGUCCUGAUGAUGAUCUGGUGAACCUGGAGUUCUUAGACGAGGAGACAAUCAUCAGCCAUCUCCACAAGAGGUAUGAUGAGCUGCAGGUGUACACUUACGUCGGUGACAUCCUCAUUGCUCUCAAUCCUUUCCAGAAUCUCAGCAUCUACUCUCCUCAGUUCUCUAAGCUGUACCAUGGCGUAAAGCGAGCUGACAACCCUCCACACAUCUUUGCUACUGCAGAUGCAGCUUACCAAGGCAUGGUGACAUUCUGCAAAGACCAGUGUAUCAUCAUUAGUGGAGAAAGCGGUGCUGGGAAAACAGAAAGUGCUCAUUUAAUUGUUCAACAUCUUACUUUCCUGGGAAAGGCAAACAAUCGGACACUUCGUGAGAAGAUUUUGCAGGUUAACCCUCUCGUCGAGGCCUUUGGGAACGCUUGCACGGCAAUCAAUGACAACUCCAGCCGCUUUGGCAAGUACCUAGAGAUGAAGUUCACGCCGACAGGAGCGGUUAUUGGGGCCAAGAUAUCUGAAUACCUGCUGGAGAAGUCGAGGGUCAUCAAACAGGCUCCAGGGGAGGAAAAUUUCCACAUAUUCUAUUACAUAUAUGCCGGCCUUUACCACCAAGACGAGCUGAAGACUUACAGCCUGCCAGAUGGGACACCUCCCAGGUACAUUGACAGUCAGCACUGCAAAGUGAUGCAAGACAUUGUGUCAAGGAAACAAUAUAAAGAGCAGUUUGAUGCCAUUCAGGAGUGUUUCCGAAAUAUCGGCUUUACAGAAGAGGAGGUCGACUCUGUUUACAAAAUUCUCUCAGCAAUUUUGAAUACUGGGAAUAUUGAAUUUGCCUCCAUCACAUCCCAGCAUCAGACCGAUAAGAGUGAAGUGCCUAACUCAGAGGCCUUAGAGAACGCUGCGUCUCUCCUCAGCAUUGGACCCGAGGAGCUCCAGGAAGCACUUACCUCUCAGUGUGUGGUCACGAGGGGCGAAACCAUCAUCCGCACCAACACCGUGGACAAAGCAGCCGAUGUCCGAGACGCCAUGUCCAAGGCCUUGUACGGACGGCUGUUCAGCUGGAUAGUGAAUCGCAUCAACUCACUCCUGCAGCCUGACAUGAAUGUCUGCGGCAUGAAUGUGGGAAUCCUGGACAUCUUUGGAUUUGAAAACUUCCAGAAGAACUCGUUUGAGCAAUUGUGCAUCAACAUCGCAAACGAGCAGAUUCAGUUUUAUUUCAACCAGCACAUAUUUGCUCUCGAACAGAUGGAAUACCAGAGCGAGGAAGUUGAUGCCAGCCUGGUGGAGUAUGAGGACAACAGGCCCAUUCUGGACAUGUUUCUGCAGAAGCCCAUGGGUCUGCUGUCCCUGCUGGAUGAAGAGAGCCGCUUCCCUCAGGCCACCGACCAGACCCUAGUGGAUAAGUUUGAGGACAAUUUGCGCUGCAAAUAUUUUUGGAUACCAAAACGAGUGGAGCUUUGUUUUGGAAUUCAGCACUAUGCCGGACAGGUAAUGUACAAUGUGAAUGGCUUUUUGGAGAAAAACAGAGACACUCUCCCUGCAGACAUCGUUGUGGUGUUGAGGACGUCAGAGAACAAACUUUUGCAGCAGCUGUUUUCCAGCCCCUUAACUAAAACAGUCUGGCCUGAUCAUCAGUGCAGCGUGCUUAUUGUGACUGUUUGUGUUCAGGUGGACACCAUGGAGAUGAUCCGCCACCCAGGAGAAACCACCAACAUGAGGAGACAGACUGUGGCCUCCUAUUUCCGUUACUCCCUGAUGGACCUGCUGUCUAAGAUGGUCGUGGGCCAGCCACACUUUGUGCGCUGCAUCAAACCUAAUGAUGACAGGCAGGCACUGCUCUUCUGCAAGGAGCGAGUGAUGGUGCAGCUGCGUUACACUGGGAUCCUGGAGACGGUGAACAUCCGCCGCCAAGGCUACUCCCACCGCAUCCUGUUUGAAGACUUUGUCAACAGAUAUUACUAUCUUGCAUUUCGGGCUCACGAGAUGCCUGAAACCAGCAAAGAAAACGCUGUUGCCAUACUGGAGAGGGCCAAAUUAAAAGACUGGGUGCUGGGAAAGACCAAGGUUUUUCUGAAAUACUACCAUGUGGAACAACUGAACCUGCUGCUGCGGGAAGUGAUAGCUCGGGUGGUGGUGAUGCAAGCUUACACUAAAGGCUGGCUCGGGGCCCGGCGUUAUCGAAAAGAGAAGGAGAAGAGAAGCCGUGGGGCCACAAUCAUCCAGUCAGGUACGCUGUAUGCGCAGUCUAUUUUGUUUCACAGAGGUAGGUCAGCAAUCUCUCGCACACACACAUACACACACUGUCUCUUUCUUUUCCCCUUAGCCUGGAGGGGCUAUGUUGCUCGGCAGAACCUCAAGCAAAUCAAAAAAGAGCGGGAAGAGGCAGCUGUCCGCAUACAAUCAGGUAAAGAAAUGUUUAAAUUUUCACAUGAGUUCAAAUAUUCAAGUGGAGACAUCUGGAAUUUCUCACGCGGCCCCAUGUCCGGUGGAAAUUCGCGCCACUGUUUUCAUACAUUUUCAAAAGGAAACGGGAUAAAGGCCUGGAAACCUUACAUCUUUGUGAAACACCUUUUUGAUCUCCAUGAGUGGCCUACGAAAUAG